CUACCUAUAGUAAACAAACUGUAGAACUUAGGAGCAAGAGCUCCUGUGUGUAUAGUCGGUACUUUUAGAAUUUUAAUACAGGGGUUUGUCUGUAUGUUAAGCUUGCAUUUACAUGCUAUGGUGUGUUUGGAUGUAGUGUUGGAUUUUAAAUGCGGGUGUACAUUUGUGUGUAGUAUUGGUGUUAAUGCACAGUAUCUCCACUGGGUAACAGGAACAGCAUAGAAUCCUUCAAG